rnacentral:tRNA from 1 species
CAAACUAGUCUUAUUAGUUAGGUUUUCCAUUUACAUUGGAAUUAUGUAUUAUUGUGCAAUUCAAUAUAGUUUGA